ensembl:snoRNA SNORD22 Small nucleolar RNA SNORD22
UCCCAAUGAAGAAACACUCACACGUCUUACUCCUGUCCUAGUCCCAGAGUCUGUAAAGGUGAACCCACUGGGGUUGACUGGGGGAGAAGAGGAAAAUUUGUUCCAGAAGGAACUGUCUGAGAGAC